AUUAAUAAGCGGAGGAAAAGAAACUAACAAGGAUUCCCUCAGUAACGGCGAGUGAAGCGGGAAAAGCCCAGCACCGAAUCCGCCGCCGUAUUCGGCGGCCGGAACUGUGGUGUUAAGGACAGCCUAUGGGGAUCGGUCGGGAGCCUGAGUCCUCCUGAUCGGGGCUUCACCCAGAGCGGGUGUCAGGCCUCUACGGCGCCUGGCCGGUUCUCUAAGGUCGUCCUACGAGUCGGGUUGUUUGAGAUUGCAGCCCAAAGCGGGUGGUAAACUCCAUCUAAGGCUAAAUACAGACACGAGUCCGAUAGCGCACAAGUACCGUGAGGGAAAGUU
rnacentral:rRNA from 1 species